AAUAAGAUGGCUGAAUUAUAGGCAAUAAAUUGUAAAUUUAUUUAUGGUAUUACCUCUUAUUA
rnacentral:tRNA from 1 species